rnacentral:tRNA from 1 species
GGAGGGUUGCCGGAGUGGACGAACGGGCACGAUUGGAAAUCGUGUAGGCGGGGAUAACCUGUCUCGAGGGUUCGAAUCCCUCACCCUCCG